UUUCCAGGAACAUGCUGUGAGCUGGGCUGAUCCAUUUUGUUUCUCUGGAAAAACUUCCUGCCUAGCGAGCUCAGUUCUGUCCAGCUCUCAAGCUGCCACUUCUGGCUAACCCUCCCAGUCUCCAGCAGAGGCCCUCUCCUCUUUGUCAUCCACAGUGCAGGGUCCAAUCCUAUCCCCAACUCUCCCUUCUCUGCACAAACUCCUUCCCCUCCAGUAAACUAUUCAAACCUCAUUUGUUAGCUUAUUUAUCAAGUAAAUAUGUGGGGCACAAAAUAAAACAUCUGGCAGUGACUUACCUAGAGUAUCAGUGACUGUGCUGAAAUUACUCUCAAAAGGAAAUACAUGUUCCCCUGAAGAAAUGUUCCAAUGUAGGAUGCAAAGUAUCUUUGCAAAAAAUUAAGCUUAACCACAAGUACCUACGCCCUGGGCUAUUCAGACAUGAAUCAAUACCAGCAGUACCAAGGCACUUAUUUGCAUAAAUGUUUAAUCAAGAGCGAUGCACAAUGUUAUUUAUCUGGAAUUUCUUGCAAAAUAAGGGAGAAUAGAUGGUCAAAGCAAGACUAAUGUAUCUCUAUUGGGCUUUUAAAUCAGUGCUAACAUAAUUAAACAUUUAUAUAGCACUUUGGGUUUGGGAAAGUUUUAUACUUUGUUUUCAAAGUUAUAUUUCUCAGAACUCUUUUGAAAUAGGUAUAUCCCACUUGGUAUCUUCUUUUUGCACAUAAAGAUAAUUUAUAAGCCAGAGAGCAAAAAUAACUUUCCCUGGGUCACUCAACAAUUCACAAGAGCUAGAAUUGUAAUUCAUCAGUUAGUCCCACUCUACACCUAAAACACAAUCAGGCAUGAUCUAAGCAAUCCUUUUGUGGGCAAGAAAGGGCAUUGAAAAUGAGCGAGUGACCUUCACCUGUGACCGUUAUUACAAAUUGCAGCAGGUGUGGGCCAGAAAGAUAAAUAUGUUUUGUUUACUUAUUGAGCAGUGCGUUUUAUUAAGACUGGCUUGGUAAUUCGUCAACACUAUCCUGCGAAGUAAACAGACUCAAGCAGCUGAAGCUGAACUACACACUGCACGUUCCACGAAGUGGUGAGCAGCUUGAAGAGGCGCAGGAGUUAGUCCGCGUUCCGAAGUGGCUGAGCACUAUGGAUCACUCCAGCUAGCCAUUUUUGACAGGCCCAUUUCCUCACCUACCACAUAGGAAGUUUGGACAAGUCUUGUCUAUAGGUUCUUCAAAUCUAAAUCUCUAUGGGGAGGAGGAUGUCACCAAGAUGAUGACAUAAGAGGCUCCUGAAUUUCCCUCCUCCCACAGACCCACUGAAUAUACAGCCGCACAUGGAUCACUUCUCUCUGAGAGAGUUCCAAAAAUUAGUUAAGUGACUCCUACGCAUCGGGCAAUGAGAAGAUUCCUACAUCUAAACAGGUGGGAAAGCCUAAGAUGCACUCUUGCCAUCCACCUCACGCUGGCACAGCACCAUUCAAUAUGGAGGGAACUCCAACUCCCAGCUCCUCCCUGAAGACCAAAGGAGUUGGUAAAAGGGAACAAAGUUUCAGUUAUAAUAUGAAUAAGGUUCGAGGAUCUAAGGUAUAACAAUGUAACGAUAGUUGAUAAUACUGUAUUGAAUAAUUGAAAUUUGCUAACAAAGUAGAACUUUUGUUCUCACCAAAAAAAACUAAGGUAAAUAUGUGACAGAUGGAUGUGUUAAUUAAGUCAAUUGUGGAACCCUUUCACAAUGUCCAUGUAUAUCAAAUCAUCAUGUUGUACACUUUAAAUAUAAUUUUAUUUGUCAAUUGUACCUCAAUAAAGCUGGAAAAACUAGAGAUAUAAAAAAACAAAUCUACAUGGGAAAAAAUACUCUGUAUAAACAGCUUAACUUCUUGACAAGACUGAAGGCAGUCAAACUUUACAUUUCUUUGAGGUUAAAAACUUGUAUUUCCUUUCCAUGAGAGCCCUGGUGGAGCUAGCUUAAUGACAUAUGGGACAAAUACACCUAAAUCUGAUUGUUGGUACCCCCAAGAAUAAAAUUCCAGAAGCAAUACGUGGGAAGCUUUUUAGACAAGGGUAUACUUCAGCUGAACUUCAGCAAUACAGGAAUUUGGAAGCCAACACAAUUUAAGGCAGAAUUCCUGGGAGACUCCUGCACCAGCGACACUGCUGUCUUUGGUAUGUUAUUAGGGAGAUGAAGCACUUACUGGUUUAGUUCUGAGCGAGAUGAGUGACCUUUUGCUUCCAUCAGGGCAGUGGGUUUGCUAUAAAUCCCUAAGUGUUAAAUUCUGGGAACCUAGAGAUAAGCAGCUGCUGAGGGCUUUCCAUUCUCUCCUGUUAUCUUAAGACACCCACAGCACAUAGUACAAAACAUUGCCCCUUGAAGAAACCUUUAAAGCCCCUGAACUCAUUUGGGGCAUCCCUGAUGCACGAUUUUCAUAGAUGGAUAGAACUGGAGGGGCCCUCAAGAGCUCAUCCUAUUCAACUCCUGACCUC
rnacentral:lncRNA from 1 species